CUAUCAUCUUGGUUUUGAAUGAAGUGAACUCCAACUGUCUCGAGGCCUGUUGUGGGGUGGAGUAGCUGCAGACCAACAUGACCAAUGAUGAGGGCCCGACAUGCAGAAAGUAGAAGACUGAUCAUUAUGGCUCCUAUAGCAGAGUUCAUCUUGUCUUGGUGCAAGGUGGUUGGGUAGAGGUGCUUCUUGCAACCACCACCACUUGACAAUGCACAGCCUUUUAUUACACUGGAAAGAGACAACAGAGAAUGGUGGUAGAAUCAGUCUGCUGACAUGGGAAUAAGGCUUUAGUAAAUUUAGCCUACGUGCAAGAGCAGCAUGCAUACCGACACUUUCCCCAUGACUCUUUACCAUAACAUCUGUAACAGAGCAUGAAUGGCAUGGUGAUAUUCAAUUCAGGAGUAGAUCAUUGAUUUUGAAUUGAAAAAAAUCAGAUCAGUUACCUGCAGGGAGGAUGUUAUCCUUAGAGUAUCCCUUCAUGUUCAUGUUUCCUGCUGGGUUGUACGGGCCCAGCAGGAAAAUUAUCUCCAUUAACCCAUAAGAGUCUAAGCCAUGUCUAAGCCAGGGGUGGGGAGGUUCUACUAAGCUAUAUGGAAUUGUUUUAAGAAGGUGAUACUAAGGAUCAUUUAGGUAUAUGAUUUUGAUUUUAAGACCCCUUGAAGUAUCAAAAAAAUAUACAUGAAUUUUUUUUUGAUAUUUUUGGCUUUACCACUAUUAACCCAUUCAAAUGCAUUUAAUAACAGAUUCACUACAUGGAACAACAGAUAGUCCCCCCAAAAAACUAAAGAAGGUUCAUUCUGAAGUGUCUGUCCUAUAUCUGAAAGAUAUAAGAAAGAUCAGGGAACAUUUGUUUUUAUUUCUGUUUUUACAUGUAUUUAACCCCUUAUUUCAACUGGUACCGGGGACCUUCAGACGAGUCUUGUGGGGCCCUCAUGAAAAAGUACUACUGAAUUACUACUCAUCACUAAUACACAAGAUCUACACAAACGUACUGGUUUUACUACUUGAUUGCUAUUGAGAUGUGUAAUAAACCAGUAGUGAUUUAUGUAGUAAUUUAAGAAGUAAUGAGUGAUAAAUUAGGAUGUUUCACUACUGGUGAACACUACAUAUUUCCUACUCAAACUACAUAAUUCUUUCUUAUUGAUUGAUUAACUACUGAGCGUUUGGGUAUCUACUACUUAAAACCUACACAUUCCGACAUGUUCACUAUUGAAUUACUACAUAACGGCUACACAUUACUGCUGUAUGUAAAUGUUAUAUUUCAGUUUAUAAUUUUUUAUAAAUUUGCAAAAAUGUCUAAAAACCCAUUUUUGCUUUGUCAUUAUGGGGUAUUGUGUAUAAAUAGAUGAGAAAAAACGAUUUAAUCAAUUUUAGAAUAAGGCUGUAACUUAACAAAAUGUGGAAACAGUCAAGGGGUCUGAAUACUUUCCGUAUUCACUGUAUGACUUAACCUCCACAUUCCUACAUAAUUCCUCCAUGUUCAUAAAACAAGAAAUACGUUUAUACAAACUUAAUUGUAUGUUUUUUAAUCAAAUGUAUUACAUUAAUUAAAUUCAUUAAUUACAGCACUUUUAAUCCAUUUGAGGUCUUCAUUCAGCUUUGACAUCGCUAUCUUGAGAUCCUCUUUUUU
rnacentral:lncRNA from 1 species